AGCUUUGCGCAGUGGCAAUAUCAUAGCCAAUGAGGUUUAUCCAAGGCACGAUUGUUGCUAUUAGGUAAUAGAUUUUCUAAAUUUGCUUAGCUUUUUAAAUUCUUAUUUUUCAAUUGAGA
rnacentral:snRNA from 2 species